UUUGUCCUACGGGGGGCAGCAGUGGGGAAUAUUGGGCAAUGGGCGAAAGCCUGACCCAGCAACGCCGCGUGAAGGAAGAAGGCUUUCGGGUUGUAAACUUCUUUUGUCAGGGACGAAGCAAGUGACGGUACCUGACGAAUAAGCCACGGCUAACUACGUGCCAGCAGCCGCGGUAAUACGUAGGUGGCAAGCGUUAUCCGGAUUUACUGGGUGUAAAGGGCGUGUAGGCGGGACUGCAAGUCAGAUGUGAAAACUCAGGGCUCAACCCUGAGCCUGCAUUUGAAA
rnacentral:rRNA from 1 species